UCUACCUCGGCAACUGCCUUCAGACCCACCUGCGCCCUGGAAGAGGGGCCACACAGCACUGCCCAGGGACUGUGUGCCGGAGACAAAGGCCAGCAUCUGCCCUCACUGUUUCUGCUGCUUCAGGAACAGGCUGGGUUAGAGGGCCUCAAGAGAUGCUUUCCUUGCCUAGAAUUCCAGAGAAAACUGGACUAAAGCAGGGCUUGUCUUCUCCAUUAGACACUUGUCCAAUUAUGCCUCAGCCUAGUACCCAAGACUGAACUGCAGCUAGCACUGACCAGUGUGUGCCCUGGGUCACUGGGCAGAAGCAAGAAUGUGCAGAAUAAAUGGUUCAACGCAGUCUCUCUCCUGGGAAAACGUGCUCCGGAGAGUAAGUGGAAAACAGCUUUUUGGUAGAAUUUUUUUAAAAAAAUUAUUCAUUCAACAAACGUUUUCUCAGACAGAUACUGGGUAUUAGAGAUAAAGUGCUAAACUUGACAGAUGGUCCCUGCCGUGCCCUCGUUUACUAUUUAGCCUGGGUUUAGGGAUCCAACUGACUUGACUUCAAAUCCAGUGACUUAUCUUUGUAAAUCUUCCUUGGCUAUAAAAUGAGGAUGGCAAAAUUAUGCAGAGGUUAUCAUGAGGGUUAAGUGAGAUAAUCUAUAUGAAGCAUUGAACCUGCUUCCUUGCUCCCAGUUGUAGCGAUCAUUAAGAUCGUAAUUUCGUAGAUCACAGGAGUCAAGUUGGAAACUGUGCGUUGGCUACCAGAAUGUAUAAUGGGCCUUUGGCAGAUAACUGACCCCAAAUCUGGAAGGACCAGGUCCCAGCUCCGGUCAACACAGCCCUGGAGCUCUCAGCUGAAGCUCAGCGUUCACAAUCAAACAAAGCCGGGAAGGACCCAACCACCUCCAGUGCUGGCAGGCCAUGGCCCUAGGCGGCAGUAAAGGCUCCCAGAGGCCUUUUGUCAAUUGUCCCCUGAACAGAACAUAAACAUCUCCACGCUGCCAUUCAGUGGACAUCCUGUUUACAUGGGAUACAGGGAAAGGUUGCAUGAGUAACCACAGCCAACUGCCAGCGAGGGAGAAGGGAAUCCGGGAGAGGGGAGAGCCAGAGAAGAGGCUCCCGGAACUCUGGGUAAGAAUCCUGCGUGAGUCCCAGACUGAACCCUAAAACACACAUGUGCAGGACAAACAUAAAGCAGCACAGCAAAGGCUUAAAUAAUUGAACUGAGGUUUUAACACAGAAGGUGAGGCAGAGCUUACAAUCUGAGUCUUUCUAGAACAAUCGUCUGCUGAAACAAAAGCACCACACUUUUCAGAGGCAUAAAAUAGAGCUCCAAGAGAAGCCCAGGAAGAAAGGGGGCAAUCUGAAUUAGGUAAAUGUGUCACUUUGCUCACAACACAUUUUAUCUUCGGGACUCCUGUGACCCGUCUCCGCUCAGGUGUGCCCUGCCUCAGAGACACUGCCAAGGAGACCAUUGCCAAUUCAGUUGCAAGCUGACAUAACUCACAUGGACUUGGCCUCGGGACAAGGCAGCACUUUGAGAGAAUGACUCAAGGAGGGGAGAGGUGUGGAGAGGCUGGGGCGAAGCAGGAUAGGGUAGGCUGUACCCUGGUCCUCAAGAAGGAGAUGGAGGAGUAUGCUCGAGAGCCUUGCCCUGGCGAAUUGUGGAUGGCUGCAGUGGGGCCUUUACAAUGGGUACCAUUGGUGGCGGUAUCUUCCAAGCAAUCAAAGGUUUUCGAAAUUCUCCAGUGGGAGGAAGCCACAGCCUAUGAGGGAGUUUGACAGCUAUUAAAACCAGGCCUCCACAGUUGGGUGGUAGCUUCACAGUUUGGGGAGGUCUAUUUUCCCAUGAUUGACUGUAGUAUGGUUCAAGUCAGAGGAAAGGAAGAUCCCUGGAACUCCAUCACGAGUGGUGCCUUCACAGGAGCCAUACUGGCAGCAAGAAACGGACCAGUGGCCGUGGUUGGGACAGCCGUGAUGGGUGGCAUUCUCCUAGCUUUAAUUGAAGGACCUGGCAUCUUGUUGACAAGAUUUGCCUCUGCACAGUUUCCCAGUGGCCCUCAGUUUGCCGAAGACCCCUCCCAGUUGCCUUCAACACAGUUACCAUCCUCACCUUUCGGAGACUAUCGACAAUAUCAGUAGGACAUCUUUCCCAGGAUUUCUUUAACAGAAUGAGCUGUAGUUUGAGAAGGAUUUGAUUUCAGAAGAUCAAGUCACAAUCUGUUUUUAAAACCAUAAGUUUUUAAAACUAUCACCAAAUAGGCUAUGAAGAGACAUUUAGUACUUUUUUCUACUUAAAGGAACAUGGGGUAGGGGUCUUAAAAGAUAAUACAUUUACUUAUUCACACUUGAAUUGCAUUUGUGAUCAAAAUAAGUGUCUAAUAUCAUUAAAAGAAAAUAUAAGUGCUUAAAAGGUGAAGGACCAAAGGGCAAAUAACAGUGAAACGUGAUCAUCAUUUCCUUGAGGACUUCUCUGCCUGGUUUUGUGUGUUCUAUUAUUCAAACAAUAAAAAGCUCCUGGAACUUACUCUUUUUUU